GCGCCUGUAGCUCAACUGGCAGAGCGUCGGGCUUCGAACCCGAAGGUUGCAGGUUCGAAUCCUGCCGGGCGUG
rnacentral:tRNA from 1 species